UACGGGGGGGGCAAGCGUUGUUCGGAAUUACUGGGCGUAAAGGGCUCGUAGGCGGCCAACUAAGUCAGACGUGAAAUCCCUCGGCUUAACCGGGGAACUGCGUCUGAUACUGGAUGGCUUGAGUUCGGGAGAGGGAUGCGGAAUUCCGCGUGUAGCAGUGAAAUGCGUAGAUAUGCGGAGGAACACCGAUGGCGAAGGCAAUCCCCUGGGCCUGCACUGACGCUCAUGCACGAAAGCGUGGGGAGCAAACAGG
rnacentral:rRNA from 1 species